rnacentral:rRNA from 1 species
AUUGAACGCUGGCGGCAUGCUUUACACAUGCAAGUCGGACGGCAGCGGGGUAGUGCUUGCACUACUGCCGGCGAGUGGCGGACGGGUGAGUAAUAUAUUGGAACGUAUCGAGUAAUGGGGGAUAACCAAUCGAAAGAUUGGCUAAUACCGCAUACGCUCUGAGGAGGAAAGCAGGGGACCUUCAUGCCUUGCGGUAUUCGUGCGGCCACUAUCUGAUUAGCUAGUUGGUGGGGUAAGGGCCUACCAAGGCGACGAUCAGUAGCGGGUCUGAGAGGAUGAUCGGCCACAUUGGCAGGGAGACCCGGUCCGAAAUCCUACAGAAGGCAGCGGUGGGGAAUAUUGCAAUAUGGGGGAAACCCAGAUGGAGUGACGCCGCGUGAACGAAGAAGGUAGUAGUAUAGUAAAGGUCUGUCCUAUGGGAAGGUAAUGACAGUACCAAAGAAGAAAGCUCCGGCUAAAUCCGUG